UACGUAGGUGACAAGCGUUGUCCGGAUUUACUGGGCGUAAAGAGCGCGCAGGCGGUCGUUCAAGUCGAGUGUGAAAGCCCCCGGCUCAACUGGGGAGGGUCAUUCGAUACUGAUCGACUCGAAGGCAGGAGAGGGGUAGUGGAAUUCCCGGUGUAGUGGUGAAAUGCGUAGAUAUCGGGAGGAACACCAGUGGCGAAGGCGACUACCUGGCCUGUUCUUGACGCUGAGGCGCGAAAGCUAGGGGAGCAAACGGG
rnacentral:rRNA from 1 species